rnacentral:lncRNA from 1 species
UUAGGGUUUGUGUCUUUGUGAGCGCCGCCCGAGCUCCAUUCCCUCAGUCCCUCUCCCCUCUCCUAGUCUUCCUCUCCUCCGGACCUCCGCCCUCUCCUCCCCCUUGCCGACUCCUUCCGCCUCCCCGUCGACGGCGACCGCAGCGGCUCGACGGGUUCCUAGGACGUUGCUUCCGCCUUCUUGGGGCUUUUCGUCGUCUCGCGACUUGCCGGCGGACGGUGACUGCUUUGUCUUCUCCACGGCGACGGCCUCCGUCUCCUGCCCUAUCCGUGCGUUCUCUCCCCUUCUCCGCUAGUAGUAUAGUCAUGCUAUCUCUGAUUUCCUUCCGCCAUCUCUUUCUGUCUCUGUUUCUUGAUCUUAGGGAUCUUGGAUCUCAAAGCGGCGGAGGACGUGAGGGCGCUCUUUCUCUUCUUCAAAGCGGCGACUACUGUGGAGUCCAGCAGCGCUGCAGCAGGUAUGCCGGUGGAGGGAAAUGGUUUGGUUUUUACUUUUUAUGGUUUGAUUCAUGGCGAAGGCUAGGGCUUCCAGAUUUUUUCCCCCACCCGAAUCGAAGCCGUCGAUGAUUUCCGGAGAGAAAAAAAUUUGGGGAUGGCGCCUAGAAUCCUAGAUCAGAGAUUUUGAGGGCUCCCGUUUCCAUUUUCUUUUAUUUUUUCCAAUAAAAAAAUUGUAAUCUGUUAAUUUCUCUCCUCCCCUUGUUCCUCUCCGUGUUUUCUUUUUA